UUUUUCCAUCCCUGAAAAGAUCAAAAGCAUUUUCUAGAACUGAUUUUUAAAAAAGGCAGAAAAGACCCACAAUGGCACCUGACCUGAAUGACACUGCAAGGACCUAGGUUCAGUAUCUGGUGAUCAGCAAGGCCAUUUUUGACAGAAAACAGCUAAAGUGUGUAUCUGAGGCUAUAUUUUGGCCUUGCUGGAAUAGCUCCCAUAAAAUACAAAUCUUGUCAGGAAAAUACUACACAGCUGACAGUGCUACAGAACUAUCUGCAGGUUAAAAUUUCUCACUGUCUGUGUAUUUCACUGCUGCU